rnacentral:rRNA from 1 species
UACGUAGGUGGCGAGCGUUGUCCGGAUUUACUGGGCGUAAAGAGCGCGCAGGCGGUCGUUCAAGUCGCGUGUGAAAGCCCCCGGCUCAACUGGGGAGGGUCACGCGAUACUGAUCGACUCGAAGGCAGGAGAGGGUAGUGGAAUUCCCGGUGUAGCGGUGAAAUGCGCAGAGAUCGGGAGGAACACCCGUAGCGAAGGCGGCACUCUGGGCCGAUACUGACGCUGAGGAGCGAAAGCGUGGGGAGCGAACAGG